CUCACACACACUGAAGUGUUAGGACCUGAAUGGAUUAUUUACAGAGCGUAGCUUUAUACCUGUCAUAUAUAAAUAUUUAUUUUCAAUUUGUCUUGUAAUUUUUUGACCAACAGUUUUAUUUGGUACUUUUGUGUUAACAGGACAAAUGAGGACAGAAGAUUCAAACAGCUGUGUAGGACAAACGAGGACCUCUCCAUCACAGAAGAUUCAAACGGCUGUGUAGGAGCCAAAAUUCUUAGGUGUUCAGGUCACUGUUCUGGAAGCCAAAAGUCUCUGCAGCUUCCUCUGAAAGUAAACAUCGAAGGGAGAAAACAAGCUGGAUAAGGUGUAAUGUGAAGAUCCAUAUGUAAACAGGUGAUCCUCUGUCUGCCGAUGGUUGGAUCGCUGGCCUCCACUUUGGUGAUCCAGGCGCCUGGAAAAAGAAAACCUGAAAGUGAACGAAAACCAAGCAGGCGGAGGUGAGCGCAGGACGACCUCCGUCUGAAACCAUGACCUCCAGCUUCCUCCCUGAGAACUCUGCUGUGACUCGUCUCCUCAGUGAGAUCUCUCCAGACUCGGCAUCGAUGACGA